rnacentral:rRNA from 1 species
GAUGAACGCUGGCGGCGUGCCUAAUACAUGCAAGUCGAGCGAACAGACGAUGAGCUUGCUCCUCUGACGUUAGCGGCGGACGGGUGAGUAACACGUGGAUAACCUACCUAUAAUACUGGGAUAACUUCGGGAAACCGGAUCUAAUACCGGAUAAUAUAUUGAACCGCAUGGUUCAAUAGUGAAAGACGGUUUUGCUGUCACUUAUAGAUGGAUCCGCGCCGCAUUAGCUAGUUGGUAAGGUAACGGCUUACCAAGGCGACGAUGCGUAGCCGACCUGAGAGGGUGAUCGGCCACACUGGAACUGAGACACGGUCCAGACUCCUACGGGAGGCAGCAGUAGGGAAUAUUCCGCAAUGGGCGCAAGCCUGACGGAGCAAUGCCGCGUGAGUGAUGAAGGUCUUCGGAUCGUAAAACUCUGUUAUUAGGGAAGAAAAAAUGUGUAAGUAACUAUGCACGUCUUGACGGUACCUAAUCAGAAAGCCCCGGCUAACUACGUG